CCAGGAGGGACCCCAUAGACCAGGAGGGACCAGGAGGGACCCCGAGGGACCCCAUAGAUCUGUGGACUGGGGAUUAUUUGGAUUUCAAGUUUUUGCUUAUCUAUCAUUUGUCUUUGAUUUAUCUUAACUUUUCAUUGAUCACCACAGAAUACAACAGAUGAAUGGAUCAAAUUUUCAAAAUCUUUUUCAAAAGCACAGCACAAAAAGAGCAGAGUUAUUAGAAACUAAUGAAGUUUAACCGAUAGUAAAGUUAGGAGCAGGUACCACAUGUUGUUACUGCUGGAUAAAAGAGAGGAAAUAGAUCAACUUCAAGUUAGAGUUUAUCAGAGAGAGCUUAGGAUAGCAAACAAACCGACACACUCAUAGAGAUGGACACAGACACAAACACACACACACACACACACACACACAGACAGACACACACACACACACACACACACACACACACACAGACACACACACACACACACACAGACACACACACACACACACACACACACACAGACACACACACACACACACACACACACACACACACACACACACACACACACACACACACAGACACCCCCACACAAACACACACACACACACACACACACACACACACACACACACACACACACACACACACACACACACACAGACACACCCACACCCACACACACAGACACACACAGACACACACACAGACACACCCAUACACACACACACACAGACAGACACACCCACACACCCACACACACAGACACACCCACACACACACACACACACACACAGACACACCCACACACACCCCCCCACACACACACACACACACAGACACA